rnacentral:lncRNA from 1 species
UCGCUUUAUCAUAAAUUCACUAUUUACGCUUCCCGGUGUUGUGCCGGUUUUGCCGUAAAACUUCGACAGGCCAUAACUUAUUCGUUAUAACACGGAUUUCGGCGUUCUUUAUAUGUACGGAAACCUUGAGACAUAUUCUACAACUUUAUGUAGAGAUAUCAGGCUUAUCUCACACUUUAAUUUUGACGCUUAUUUUUAUUCUUUAUUAAUUAUACAUUUAUAAUUAAAUAAUAAACACAUAAAUACACAUAAUUCACAUAAUACUCAAAUAUUUCAUCUUUAUUACUUCAAAAAGAGUUACAAUAGUUGACCUAGACUAUUACAUUGACAAAUAUGCUUAGCCCUGAAACCCGGGCGUUACAAUNUUCUUUAUAUGUACGGAAACCUUGAGACAUAUACUACAACUUUAUGUAGAGAUAUCAGGCUUAUCUCACACUUUAAUUUUGACGCUUAUUUUUAUUCUUUAUUAAUUAUACAUUUAUAAUUAAAUUAUAAGCACAUAAAUACACAUAAUUCACAUAAUACUCAAAUAUUUCAUCUUUAUUACUUCAAAAAGAGUUACAAUAGUUGACCUAGACUAUUACAUUGGCAAAUAUGCUUAGUCCCGAAACCCGGGCGUAACAAUUCUCUCCCCCUAAGGAUGAUUCCGUCCCGGAAUCAUGCAUCAGCAAACAGAUGUAGAUAGCAACUCAUCAU